rnacentral:rRNA from 1 species
AUUGAACGCUGGCGGCAGGCCUAACACAUGCAAGUCGAGCGGAUGAAGGGAGCUUGCGCCUGGUUUCAGCGGCGGACGGGGGAGUAAUGCCUAUGAAUCUGCCUCGCUGUGGGGGAUAACGUCCUGAGACGGCCGCUGAUACCGCAUGCGUCCUGCGGGUGAAGGUGGGGGGGCGUUGGACCUCACGCGAGCAGAUGAAUCUAGGUCGGGUUAGCUAGUUGGUGGGGGGAGUGCCCACCAAGGCGGCGUUCGGUGAGUGGUCUGAGAGGAUGAGCAGUCGCCCUGGAAGUGAGACCCGGCACAGUCUCCUACGGGUGGCACCAGUGCGGCAUCUUGGAGCAGGGGCGAAAGCCUUAUCAAGCCGUGCCGCGUGUGUGUAGAAGGUCUUCGGAUUGUAAAGCACUUUCAUUUGGGAGGAAGCGCAGUACGUUUGUACCUUGCUGUGUUGACGUUACCUGCAGAAUGAGCCCCGGCUAACUUCGUG